rnacentral:rRNA from 1 species
UAGAGUUUGAUCAUGGCUCAGAACGAACGCUGGCGGCGUGCCUAACACAUGCAAGUCGAGCGAGAAAGCCCGCAAGGGUGAGUAAAGCGGCGCACGGGUGAGUAACACGUGGGUAAUCUGCCCUAGAGUCCGGAAUAACUCGCCGAAAGGCGUGCUAAUGCCGGAUGAGACCACGGGAGCUCCGGCUCCUGCGGGAAAAGGUGGCCUCUGUACACAAGCUAUCGCUCUAGGAUGAGUCCGCGGCCCAUCAGCUCGUUGGCGGGGUAAUGGCCCACCAAGGCUACGACGGGUAGCUGGUCUGAGAGGACGAUCAGCCACACUGGAACUGAGACACGGUCCGGACUCCUACGGGAGGCAGCAGUGGGGAAUCUUGCGCAAUGGGCGAAAGCCUGACGCAGCAACGCCGCGUGUGUGAUGAAGGUCUUCGGAUCGUAAAGCACUGUCGCGAGGGACGAAUAAGGGGCGGGUUAACAUCCCGUUCCGAUGACGGUACCCCGAGAGGAAGCACCGGCUAACUCUGUGCCAGCAGCCGCGGUAAUACAGACGGUGCGAGCGUUGUUCGGAAUUAUUGGGCGUAAAGCGCGUGUAGGCGGCCUUGCAAGUUGGGUGUGAAAGCCCUCGGCUUAACCGAGGAAGUGCGC